AGAUUUGCACAGUGGCAGUAUCCUAGCCAAUUAUGUUUAUCCGAGGUGGGAUUAUUGCUAAUUGAAACUUUUCUCAAAGUAAA
ensembl:snRNA U4 U4 spliceosomal RNA